CCCAGACUCCUACGGGAGGCAGCAGUGAGGAAUAUUGGUCAAUGGGCGGGAGCCUGAACCAGCCAAGUCGCGUGAGGGAAGACGGUCCUACGGAUUGUAAACCUCUUUUGCCGGGGAGCAACGGGGUCCUUGCGAGGUCCCAAUGAGAGUACCCGGAGAAAAAGCAUCGGCUAACUCCGUGCCAGCAGCCGCGGUAAUACGGGGGAUGCGAGCGUUAUCCGGAUUUAUUGGGUUUAAAGGGUGCGUAGGCGGCGCUUCAGGUCAGCGGUGAAAUACCGGGGCUCAACCCCGGGGCUGCCGUUGAAACCGGAGCGCUAGAAUUCCGAUGCCGUCGGAGGAAUGUGUGGUGUAGCGGUGAAAUGCAUAGAUAUCACACAGAACACCGAUUGCGGAGGCAGCAUACCGGCGCCCGACUGACGCUGAGGCACGAAAGCGUGGGUAUCGAACAGGAUUAGAUACCCCAGUAU
rnacentral:rRNA from 1 species